UUUCUCUUCCUUCUCUUCUUCUUCUUCCCUUCGUGUUCUCGCGUAGUUUUUCUCCGCCCGGGAUGGUGGAACCAGUCGGUGCGGUCGUGCGCGUGUACGUGCAGGAUUUUCUUUCUUUCCCUUCGUCCUCGAUCCCUUUUCUCUCUCCCUCUCUCUCUUCCAAUUCUUCUUCGAGGCGGGUUUCGAAGCGCGCAAAGACGAAAGGCCGACCAUCCAUCGAUCCUUGGAUCCUCCAACGAAGACGAGAGACGAUUUUUAUGGCCACCAAGCAGCAGCCGCGGUAAAAAUUGGACGUGACGCGAUUCGAGCCGAUCGAAAAAUGCUCGCCGGCAUUGUCGCGUUUGAUCUUGUUUUUCGCGUCCAUCUCAACCUCGUUCGAACAAAGCGCAAUUUUAUCAUUCUUCCCUCCCCUCGAUUAUCCGAUUAAUUGCUGGCAAUUGGAUCCCUCGUUUCUCGUCUUCUCGAUUCCUGAAUAUCCGGCACGCGUUUUCUUUAUUUAUUAUCCCCUUUCACGUUUCUUUUUUUUUACUUUUUUCUCACUGUCCGUCAUUGUCGAAGAGAAAAUAUGCCGCUGCUCUGGUGGAGAGACGAGGGGGAUAAAAGCGGGGGAUUUCUUUCUUUUUUUUUUUGACUAAAAUUGAUCGUCCCGCGCGAAAAAAAAAAGGAAAGGAAAGAGAGGAGGGGAAACGGGAUGAGGAAGGAAACAUCGUCCCUCCUCUUCGCGCGGCGGCAAGGCGGUGUCACGCAACUGCAUUAUCACGCCUAACGUAUUUGUCACGUUGACGUUUCCAAAUCGUGACGCGUAGAAAUUUUUCACGCGACGAGAAUGGGCAAGGAUACGAAAAUUUCGCCAGACUUUCGUAUAUAUAUAUAUAUGUACACGCGUACGUAUGAUCACCGCGCUGGAAAAUACGAUCCCUGCCGAUGAAAAAAAGAAAAGCUUGCUUCUCGAAUGAAAAAAAAUAUAUAUAUACAUAUAUCCUUCUCAAUUUAUCAACGUUUCGUCACGAAUUAUUCUUCCAGCUGAUAUAAUUCGAGCACGCUAUUUCAUCCGAGGACGAUUAAACUCUUGGCUCUUUUUCUUUCUUUUUUUUUUUUUUUCUAAACGGGUGAAAGUGUUGCUCCCAGGGAAAAUCGAUCCGCGCUCAAAAUAGGGAGAGACGCGUGGAGAGCUGGAGAAGGAGAGGGGAGGGGAGGGGAGGGGAGGGGGCGGGGAUGAGGAGGCUUUUAUCACGCGAACAGCAGGCCGAUCGGUGGAUAAGCCGAGAUUUCGUGGUGGUAAUCGAUACACGCGCGCGGUCUAGAGCCUCUCUCUCUCUCUCUCUCCUGGCGCAUGAAUUUACACGGGGUUCAAACGUGUAUACACGCCGUGUAUUUGCAUGAGCCGCGGUGAUAUAAGCGCCUCGUAGGAAAAUGCCUGCCCCCUCCCUUCGCCUAGAAAAAAAAAUCCCUUUUCCCUCCCUUCUUAAUUGCUAUGACGAAGGUUCUUUAAAAGUUUCGACCGGCCUGAAUAUUUCACCAGUCUUGGACGGUCUUCUCUGUGAUUUAUCGGCCGAGUACUUGGUCGAAAAAUCGAAUUUAUUAUUGUUUUUCUUUUUCUAUAUAUCGUCUCUUAAGGAUCUUAAGUAAUUCGACGCGUGAGUUUCUAAAGUGAAGCUUUGAAGCGAAGUAUGAUAAGAUAAGAAAGUAUUAAAAAUUCUUUUAGUUUCGUACGUAUAUGUGUUAUCGAUAGGAUUUAAUGGGUAGGCGAGGAUUGGAAUGCUUUCUAUUAUAUUUGAGCAAUUGCAAUAUAGGCGGUGUAUUUCUGUUAAAUGAGUGUUUCUGGCGUCUUUCGUACACUUUGAUUAAUCGCUUCUUGUUUCCUGUCUGAAAUUGUGUGACUAUGCAUUUUGUUGCGCUACGAAACUAUAAAAUACCCUCGGUGAACUUUCUCAUUUUACCCGACCGAGUAGAAACUAUUACGUACAGUCUGCGCUCCACACACUCCUGCCCAUAAGUCACCGGAUACUUGCCCUACAGUUUUGAACAAUGCGUCUAUUAAGAUAAAUUUUCGGUAAGGGACGAUAUUACUUCUCUAACGCGAUCUAACUCUUUUUCGUAAAUUGGAUCGUUUUAAUCGUACUCGUGAAACGAGAUCGGAUAAAACUUUCUUGUUUUUUGGCGGGAAGAAAAAAUUUUAAGCCUCGACAAAUUCGACGGUGGUGCCCCGUUGUAUAUUUUUCCAUUACGAAAGAAACUGUCCAGAGAGAAAGGAAAGGAAAAAAGGGAAAAAGCUUUCGUACUUUUCCAUCCUAAAAUAACUCGUCCGUUCAUUCCAUAUCUUUCCGCAUCAUCUUCUUUCAAAAGUCCAUUAACAUAUACGGUAUUCUCUCUCUCUCUCUGUCUCUUUCUCCGCUUGAUCCGUAACGAAAAUAGACGUAAAAAAGGGGGAGAAAGAAAACAGAGAAAGGGGAAAGUCUGGUUUCCUUUCCUCCCUCGCCUUCCUCGUGGGAGGAAGAAACGUUGGUCGUGUGUUUAUCAGGCUGACAUUUCCAAAUGUCGCGCGGUUUAUCAGGUGUUCCGCGGUGGUGGCGAGCUCUCGUGCGCAUGCGCGCGUCGCGGCCAUGGGAACGGACGGGAGCACGCGUGCAUCGAAUCGACGACGUCAUUAAAUUUACAUAAUAAGGCGUCGCGUGGCCGAGUGUACGGGGUUGUGACUACCGCUAUUGCCUCCGUUCGCUGCUGUUGUGUCGUCUAUUGACACUUUGACGUGGUUAUUCAAGUGCAGCUGCAACGAUCGCUGCCAAUUGAGAACGAAUAAUGUUAGGUUAGGGCGCAUCGAAUCGAUGUUGGCAAAGGGAUAUUAAUACGGUGUUAACGAAAAGUGGAUUUCAGUCGGAGAAUUGGAUCGUUGGAACGAAAGAGUUGAAGGAUGGAGGAAUCCUUUUCUCCAACGGAUCAAAGUUUUUCGAAAGCCAUCGAAAUCGCGAGGACACCCCGUAUAUUCGGCUCAUUGGCGCGCGAAUUAAGAGGGAAGCGGAGAUUAAUAAUUUUCGCCGGGGCGAAUCCCCUAUUGCGCAAGAUGAAAAAGCGUAAACCUGGCCUCGAUGUUUUUCGAGUAUCGAGUAUCGAAAUGCGAUAAUUUAAACUCGGAAUAAAUCCCAAUGGAGUUAAUCGUAUAUUUAUGUACGCAUUGCCCAUUAAUAAACUGCUUGUUCGAUA